rnacentral:misc_RNA from 1 species
AACUUUUGACAAUGGAUCACUUGGCUCUCGUAUCGAUGAAGAACGCAGCGAAAUGUGAUAAGUAAUGUGAAUUGCAGAAUUCAGUGAAUCAUCGAAUCUUUGAACGCAUCUUGCGCCCUUUGGUAUUCCGAAGGGCAUGUCUGUCUGAGUGUCAUGAAAUUCUCAAUCUCCUAUUCUUUGUGAUAGGCUGGUUGGAUCAUGGGUGUUUGCUGGCGUUGUCAGCUCACCUGAAAUGAAUUUGCGAUGUUGUGUCCUUGUGAGUUGGCCCGACUAGGCGUGAUGGUGAUAACGUUCGUCUAGGAUCCCGCUUCGGCGAGGAGCCGCUCCUGUUGGGCUUUAUCGUUGCACUCUUUAAAUAUCUUUGGUUUAGACCUCAGAUCAGGCAGGACUACCCGCUGAACUUAAGCAUAUCAAUAAGCGGAGGCU